rnacentral:snoRNA from 2 species
AACCUCUCAGGAUUUCACCUGGAGAGUUUCCAGUCCUCUACCAGUCUUGGAUACGGGGGGGGAGAGUCAAGCAGAGGCCUACCCAUUCCAUUCCCAGCUUGGCCAGUGGCUAGCGAGUGGAAGGCCAUCUGCUACAAGU